rnacentral:rRNA from 1 species
AAUAGAUACCCCAGGUAGUCCACGCCGUAAACGAUGGAUACUAGCUGUUUGAGCGCAAGUUUGAGUGGCUAAGCGAAAGUGAUAAGUAUCCCACCUGGGGAGUACGGGCGCAAGCCUGAAACUCAAAGGAAUUGACGGGGGCCCGCACAAGCGGUGGAGCAUGUGGUUUAAUUCGAUGAUACGCGAGGAACCUUACCAGGGCUUAAAUGUAGAUUGACGUAUUUGGAAACAGAUAUUUCUUCGGACAAUUUACAAGGUGCUGCAUGGUUGUCGUCAGCUCGUGCCGUGAGGUGUCAGGUUAAGUCCUAUAACGAGCGCAACCCCUGUUGUUAGUUGCCAGCGAGUAAUGUCGGGAACUCUAGCAAGACUGCCAGUGUAAACUGUGAGGAAGGUGGGGAUGACGUCAAAUCAUCACGGCCCUUAGUCCUGGGCCACACACGUGCUACAAUGGCCGGUACAGAGAGCAGCCACUUAGCGAUAAGGAGCGAAUCUAUAAAGCCGGUCACAGUUCGGA